rnacentral:rRNA from 1 species
ACGUAGGGGGCGAGCGUUGUCCGGAAUGACUGGGCGUAAAGGGCGCGUAGCCGGUUUUUUAAGUCUGGAGUGAAAGUCCUGCUUUCAAGGUGGGAAUUGCUUUGGAGACUGGAAGACUUGAGUGCGGAAGAGGUAAGUGGAAUUCCCAGUGUAGCGGUGAAAUGCGUAGUGAUUGGGAAGAACGCGAGUGGCGAAGGCGAGUUACUGGGCCGUAACUGACGGUGAGGCGCGAAAGCGUGGGGAGAGAACUG